CUUUAAGGUGUAGGCUGCUACAAAAUAUGUUCCACACCCGACCCACAUGACCUGUGAUUUCCGUGAAUCUGAUUGGUCAAGGAGGUGGCACCACAGGUCCCAGAGUGUUUUUUUCUUCUCCUGCUCUCGUGAUUUAUAUUUUACUGAAAACAACAACACUGGACCGACAAGUUCUGGCAUUUCUGCGUGUUAACAACUAUCGGGUAAGCGACCAUAAUCUUAUGCAACUAUAAAAUACUGCUGAUUUGGCUGAUGGGAAAGUGCCUUUCAGACCUUAAUGUCAAUCUCUGUGUGUAGGGUAUGACAGUGAUUAAUCAGUUGCAGAAUGGUUUUAUAUGGGCUAUGGUGGCCUUUUCUAAUCAGGUCACACAGAUUUAAACUCCUGGAAAAACUCCUGGCUCUAUAGGGAGGAUGAAAACCCUGUCAUACUGCAGCAACCUUUCUCAUAUGAAUUAUAUAUUAAAACUGGAAUAACAGGGGAGUUUUCCUUACACAGACACAGAGACAACUGUGAAUAGACAAUACAACUAACAGGACAGAGUUUGUUUUAUGCAGUGUUGCAUCAUGUAGGCCCAGGGAUAGAAAUGGCCUGUGUCCAAAAUCCUUCAAUUCCAUUCCUGUGUAUUCAUACCACUUGACUUAUUCCACAUUUUGUUGUGUUCUAGUCUUAAUUCAAAAUGUAUUACAUUUGUUUUUUCUUCACCCAUCGACACAGACUACCCCAUAGUGAAAAUAGUUUUUACAUACGUUUUCACACCCCUGAGUCAAUACUUUGUAGAAGCAACUUUGGCAGCGAUUGCAGCUGUGAGUAUCUCUGGGUAAGUCUCUAAGAGCUUUCCACACCUGGAUUGUACAUCAUUUACCUAUUAUUCUUUUCAAAACGCUUAAAGCUCUGUCAAAUGUGUUGUUGAUCAUUGCUAGACUAUUUUCAAGUUUUGUCAAUGAUUUUCUAGCAGAUAUAAGUCAAAGCUGUAACUCGGCCACUCAGGAACAUUCACUGUCUUCUUGGUAAGAAAAUCCAGUGUUGAUUUGUCCUUGAAUUUUAGGCUAUUGUCCAGCUGAAAAUAAAAUUCAUCUCCCAUUGUCUGGUGGAAAGCCUGUGCUGUGCUAAAUUUUGUUGAAUUAGUUUAUCCCGAAAACUCCCCAGUCCUUAACGAUGACAAGCAUACCCAUAACAUGAUGCAACCACCAUUAUGCUUGAAAAUAUAUAGAGUGGUACUCAGUAAUGUGUUGUAUUGGAUUUGCCCCAAAU
ensembl:lncRNA